rnacentral:rRNA from 1 species
AUGCCUGUGAAGAUAAACUUGACGCAAACUCAUUUGACGCAAGUGUUUGCUCGUGAUGCAGUUAAGGAGAAGAAAGUUGUUUUGAAGAGGAAGAUGUCAGAUCGAAAUCCUGAUGGCACACAGAGGUGUAGCCCACGUGUGAAAGCUGGUUCCCAACCUGGUAAUAGCAAAGCUGAUGGGGAUAGUGUUGCUGUGAAAAUUGGUCCAAGCACACUUGGUGGCUCCCCUGUUCGUCGGAGUCCACGAGGUUUGAGAAAUAAGAAGCCUUCUUCGUCCUCUCUUCAAGAGCGGUCUUUGUUGAAAGAAAAUAAGAAGCGUAAAGUUAUUCCAGCAAAGGUGAACAAAGGUGUGAAGAAGCGUGCUCGUGUCGAAGAUGAAGAUGUUGUAUCUGAAGAAGAUGAUAUUGAAGUUGAUUCUAAAGAUAAAUUUGCAAUGCCUGUUAGUGUUAUGAGUCCGGUCAAGUCGGUGGGAGGUAAUGCCGGAAAAGUUGCCUUGGAUGAAGGUGACCAAUGGAAAUUGAACUUAACUGUGCGAUGUUCGUUGGGAGAGGUUGAAGCUUGUGCUAAAUUGCUCGAGAGUCGGGUGAAGUCUAACAUUUCCCGCCCACUGAUGGGAGUUUUGUACCUGAGGAUGGAUCCUGAUACAAUGACUCUUGACAUGGGUGAGGCUAAUAAGAAGCUUCGCAUCACUAGCGAUGGUAUACAACAAUUAUUUGGUUUCCCUCAUGGUGGUCAUUCUGCGCCAAGGCUGUCAGAGGACGGAUAUGACGACGCUCUGAUGAAGUUAAGAAUGGAGCUUGACACUAGCAGGAACAAAGAUAUGAGGACAAAGGAUUUGAGGAAUAAGCUCAAGGUGCUCGUCCAGGAUCCUAGCAAAGAUGACCUUGCUCUGAAAGUGUUCUUCAUUAUUGUGUUUAUGAAGGUUGUGUUGCCUGGUUCUGCCCCGCGUGCUUCCAGAGAGGCAACAAUGUUUGAGGGUCUCGUCUUUGAGGACAUGGCUAAAAUGGAUUAUUGCCAGCUGAUGGUUGAUUAG